ACGGUCCAAACUCCUACGGGAGGCAGCAGUAAGGAAUUUUCGGCAAUGGGGGAAACCCUGACCGAGCAACGCCGCGUGAGUGAUGAAGGUCUUUUGAUCGUAAAACGCUGUUGUUAGGGAUGAACUAUACUUCUAGGAAAUGAGAAGUAUUUGACAGUACCUAACCAGAAAGCCACGGCUAACUACGUGCCAGCAGCCGCGGUAAUACGUAGGUGGCAAGCGUUAUCCGGAAUUAUUGGGCGUAAAGAGUGAGCAGGCGGCAGUUUAAGUCUGGAGUGAAAGCGUGAAGCUCAACUUCAUACAGCUCCAGAAACUGAACAGCUAGAGUACGGGAGAAGUAAGUGGAAUUCCAUGUGUAG
rnacentral:rRNA from 1 species